AGCCGACUACAACUCCGUCCAGUCGCCAACAUUCCGCCAAAUACCGACUUGCACUAUACUCGUAUGCAACUUAGUUUUAACGUUUUACAGCUGAACAAAUAACUUCCUUAUGGCGGCCUCUGCGACAUGUGAGGAGUGAGACCUCAUACGGUGUGGAUGCUGCUGUGUUGCGUGCAACUAACUAGCGUGAUUAUAUGCGAGAUGUCAUCUGGUUUGGUGUGACGGAUAUUGAUAGCAAUCAUACCUAUCAAAGUUUUGCAUAACAAUUAAUUAUAAAUAAGUUUAUGAAUAUUUUAUCACAUCGUACGAUGUUGAUAUCAGCUGAGCGCAUGAUAUCAGCUCCUGUAGUGACGACACAUUUUAAUUUGUUAAUUGCCAGUGGAGCGGAGGGUACGAUAGUUCUAGGAAUGUCGACAGCUAAUGUGUGUGUGAUAUUGUUAUCGUUACGUUACCAUGGAUAAGUGACAGGAUAGUAUUAAUCCUACUUUAGUCUUCUGCCCUUUGAAUACACGUACGGCCAAAACGAUUGAGGAAAUGAGAGCAAAUAUGACAUUGACGUGUGCGUCUGAGUUUGACAUUUCAACCAUUAUUGCCACUAUCAGAUUUAGAAAAACCUACACUCAUGGAAACUGUAAGAUGCAAAUCUACCAGAUAAAUAAUUUUCAAUUAACUGCAGUUAUGUACUAAAAAAUUGAGCUUAUCCUCCUUUUAUGUACUCAAUAUACUAAAUCCUACUUUCAAGUUUAACACUUUUCUGAAAACCGUAUUAAAAUCGGUUGAGCUAAUCGCUGAGAAACACAUAUGUAUAGGUCUAAUUGAACGCCUUUCUUUUUUGAAAUCGAUUAAAAAUGUUUUUCAAAAUGUGCGAUUGCCGCGUAUUUUAUGUUAUAUCAUGCAGCACGGUACUUUGCAGCUAAUUCCAGGGUGUCCUUACUCCAGGCUCGCUCGUGGUGGAAAACCGGUUUAAAAGUAUUGUAAAAUAAUUUCAUGAUUGGGUGAAAAUUUUCAUAAAACGACAAGACCGGCAAGUCCAUACGACGGCAUUUUGAGCCCCAUUUCAUGUUUGUUUCUGUUUAUGGAAGAGGCGCACAUUCAGUAUGUCCUCCUGAAGAAGUUCUAGAAAGCAGCGAGCUUCCAGUUUGUUCCAGUUACCUUUGUGCAAUUAUUUUCCUCUACAAAAACAAGCAUUUUCAUGUCAAAUAACUUUUAUUUUAGUUAAACAAAGAAAUGUAUAUAUAAUAUUAUAUAUAGGUAUGUUUAUUGAAUAAAAUUAUAUCUUAUAAACAGA